GCCCCUGUAGCUCAGUUGGUUGAGCAUGGUGCUUGCAACGCCAGGGUUGUGGGUUCGAUUCCCACGGGGGACC
rnacentral:tRNA from 1 species